UACGUAGGGGGCUAGCGUUGUCCGGAAUCAUUGGGCGUAAAGCGCGUGUAGGCGGUCCGCUAAGUCUGCUGUGAAAGCCAGGGGCUCAACCCUUGGAUGCCGGUGGAUACUGUCGGGCUUGAGUACGGAAGAGGCGAGUGGAAUUCCUGGUGUAGCGGUGAAAUGCGCAGAUAUCAGGAGGAACACCAAUUGCGAAGGCAGCUCGCUGGGACGUUACUGACGCUGAGACGCGAAAGCGUGGGGAGCAAACAGG
rnacentral:rRNA from 1 species